rnacentral:rRNA from 1 species
UACAGAGGGUGCAAGCGUUGCUCGGAAUUAUUGGGCGUAAAGAGCUCGUAGGCGGUCUGUCACGUCGGCUGUGAAAACCCGAGGCUCAACCUCGGGCCUGCAGUCGAUACGGGCAAACUAGAGUGUUGCAGGGGAGACUGGAAUUCCUGGUGUAGCGGUGAAAUGCGCAGAUAUCAGGAGGAACACCGGUGGCGAAGGCGGGUCUCUGGGCAACAACUGACGCUGAGGAGCGAAAGCGUGGGGAGCGAACAGG